rnacentral:rRNA from 1 species
CGCAAGACUAACUAGGAUUCCCUUAGUACGGCGAGUGAACCGGGAAAAGCUCAAAUUUGUAAUCUGGCUGUCUUCGAUAGUCCGAGUUGUAAUCUAUAGACGUGUUUUCCGUGCUGGACCGUAUCUAAGUCCCUUGGAACAGGGUAUCAAAGAGGGUGACAAUCCCGUGCUUGAUACGACCACCAGUGCUCUGUGAUACACGCUCUACGAGUCGAGUUGUUUGGGAAUGCAGCUCAAAAUGGGUGGUAAAUUCCAUCUAAAGCUAAAUAUUGGCGAGAGACCGAUAGCGAACAAGUACCGUGAGGGAAAGAUGAAAAGCACUUUGGAAAGAGAGUUAAACAGUACGUGAAAUUGUUGAAAGGGAAACGAUUGAAAUCAGUCGUGUUCUUUGGAUUCAGCUAGUUCUUCUAGUCUACUUCCAUUGAACGGGUCAACAUCAGUUUUGUCCGGUGGAUAAAGAUAGUAGGAAUGUAGCUCCCCCGGGAGUGUUAUAGACUAUUAUUGCAUACACUGGGUGAGACUGAGGACUGCAGCUCGCCUUUUGGCCGGUCUUCGGACACGUUCGAGCUUAGGAUGUUGACAUAAUGGCUUUAAACGACCCGUCUUGAAACACGGA